AUGGAGUCACCACGCCUCCAAAUGGAAAUGGACAAGUCAUGUCAAGACAACAACACCGUGAUAAGUGUUUCCUCCCGCGAGUCAUCAGGAAAUUAUUUCUCCCCUGAAGAAGAAUAUGGGGUACUUGAAGUGCCUGGUUCCGAUUUCAACGUCAGGAAGAAGAAGGCCAGGCUAUCUUCAAAUCAGAAGCAGCAGUUAAAGGAUGGUUACUUUACCGGCCAAAAGACCAAAUUGACUUCAACUCAGAAGGAAGCGGUGAAGCGGAUGGUCCGAUCCAUAUACUCAGAGAUCCCCAUCUUCGUUGUUGUGAUGCGCAAGUGCAACGUUGUUGCAGAAUUCUAUCUGGCUUUUCCUAGACACUAUGCUAAGAAAUAUCUCAGAGAGGAGCCGCAGUCUCUUCAGCGGCCGGGCCGCAUCGGGAUGUGGCCGGUGCGCUUUUGUGAAAACAAUGGCGGUAAAAGGCUCAAGAUUGGACGGAAACAGUUUGUAGAAGACACCAAGCUGGAGAUGGAUGACAUAUGCCUCUUUAAACUGUUGAGCACUGAGAGAACCAUGCAGGUCUAUAUCAUCCAAGCAAAUUAUCGGGCAGGUCCCCAGAAUGGCGCUGACCGGAGAGGGGCUCCGGCUCAUCGUGCUGAUGGAGCGUGUGAUCCUGGCUCAAGGUUGCUUCACAUCGCUAAAACUGAAGCUAUGGAGGAUGAUGUUGUUGGCCCUGAUGGUGCCUGA
rnacentral:rRNA from 1 species